GACGAACGCUGGCGGCGUGCUUAACACAUGCAAGUCGAACGGAAAAGGCCUGUACUUGUGGGGGUCUCAUGUGGAGAAAAGGUGAGUAACACGCGAGUAACCUGCCCCUUACUUUGGGAUAACUUCUGGAAACUGGGGUUCAAAUCGGGUAUGAGAUCCUUCUGCAUGGUGGGGGUUUGUAAAAUUCGGCGGUUGGGGAUGGACUCGUGGCCUCUCAGCUUGUUGGUGGGGUAGUGGCUUAACAAGGCUUUGACGGGGAGCCGGCCUGAGAGGGUGACCGGCCACAUUGGGACUGAGAUACGGCACAGACUGCUACGGGAGGCAGCAGUGGGGAAUAGUGCACAAUGGGCGGAAGCCUGAUGCAGCAACGCCGCGUGCGGGAUGACGGCCUUCGGGUUGUAAACCGCUUUCGACUGUGACGAAGCGUGAGUGACGGUAAUGGGUAAAGAAGCACCGGCUAACUACGUG
rnacentral:rRNA from 1 species